GGAGUAAUAGCUCAGAUGGGAGAGCGCCAGCCUGAAGAGCUGGAGGUCCUCGGUUCGAUCCCGAGUUGCUCCA
rfam:Grosmannia clavigera kw1407 unplaced genomic scaffold GCSC_173, whole genome shotgun sequence.